rnacentral:tRNA from 1 species
GAAGAAAAUUUGUUAAGUUACUGCUAAUAACUUACUGUUAGUUAAGUCUAACUUUCUUCU